GAAAUACUUCCUCCCUCCGGAAAUAUUUGUCCUAGAAAUGAAUAAAAUGAAUGUGUCUAUAACUAAAAUAAGUCUAGAUACAACCAUUUCUAGGACAAGUAUUUUCGGACGGAGGGAGUACAUG
rfam:Triticum aestivum genome assembly, contig: Triticum_aestivum_CS42_TGACv1_scaffold_197072_3AL